rnacentral:lncRNA from 1 species
CAACUGUGCUGAGGAACGUAGAUCUUUGAGGCUCCCCUGGUCCUGACGAGUCUGAGUCAGAAGAACCAACACUUCCUCCUGAAUAGUAGCCACAUAUAUGUAUAUUUGCUUUUUGCUGGGAUGAUAUUGUAGACUCAAAAAUAAUACAACCAAGACAAGCCGGCAUCAUGCAGGAUGAGUCUGAUUAACAGGGAGAAAGAGGAUGAGUUACGUAGACAAAUCUCAAGGAUGGUCAAGGAGAAAUCUCAAGAAGAAAAGAGGGAAUGAAACUAUGAAGUAGGCAGGUAUGUGUGUUCCUGCGGGUAUAUCAGUGAAGUUCGGCU